CUUUCGAGGUGGGGGAGCCAUGUCUCCUAGCUUGAAACCCUUGGCCUUGCAUCAGUGCUCUUCUCUCUCUCUCUCUCUCUACUUCUCGCCUCCUGCCACCUCUCCGACCUCUUUCAUCUUUUCUAGCCUUGGCUCCAUUCCACUCUUUUCAUCUCCCAUUAAGAAAAGUUUUAGGCAUGUAUAAAUUAAUUAAUUAAUUAAUUAAAAUCAUUAAAAUAAACUUUCUAACCUAAUGGGCUUCGACACCCUCACAAGCCACCACAACCCACUCUC
rnacentral:lncRNA from 1 species